UUUAUUGAGGGGAGAUCUGCUAACACAGUUUAGGUUGACCAUUUCACAACCAAUAGCAUUUAUUUUGAUUUUGGCAAAUUUCAUGAUUCAUAAUUUUUUUUUCUUUCUCUCUGCAGAUAAGUGGAGAGAGUCGAUUUCAUGGCAUACAUUGGUGGUUAAGAACUCCACUCCUUUCCAUGCUGAACUGUACAGUGAAGCAGUGCGCUCCACAGUAGGAGAAACCUUAGUCAAAGAACCCAAUGUUGAGCAGCUACCAAGGUGCAGUGGAAAGGCACUCAGUACAAAAGGACUCUUUCUGUGUUUAAACCAAGUCCUCCUAGUUAUGGAUGCAGAGAGUCCGCUUCUGUCUUUCAUAAAAUCAGUGCCUAAACUCAGAGACCCUGAGCCUUUGCUAGAGCAUCUGCAUUGUUUAGGACCUGGAGGACCUGAGCUACCUGCAGGAGAGUGACCUCCUUUCUGUCCUGAGACCAGUUGAAGCCAAGAAACGUCUGUCACUGCUCAAAAAGACAAGCCAACAAGAUGUCUUGGACAGUCCUCCAAGAAACCAGAGCAACCAACAG